UUGCUGACUAUGGUAAAUAACACUUCAUUGUGUACUCAAGAUUUGCGAUGGGCAGAUCUUAAAUGUUCAAUACUAUUUUUUAAGCAAAUAAUCUUUUAUAACAAUUUUUUUCUAAUUGGUUACAUAUGACAGAAGAAUACAUUUUGGCAUACUGUACACAAAUGGAGCACAGCUUCUCCUUCCUCUGGCUGAACAUGAAAGUUCAUGCUCGCUGCCAAACCCUUCGUCAUGGUCCUCAUCGUCAACAUCCUCCUCGUCAUCCUCCUCUUCUUCAGGACUGCAUUUGAUGUCGCAGCUGGUUAGUUUGGUGUACUUGGUUAAGUCUUCACAGUAUGUAUCCCACUGCUCCCAGUUUGAGGCUAAAGCACCCUCAUUAUCCAGAACAUCUGUGAAGGACUCCAGAUUUUCAAUGUCCUUGCAGUCCUCCAAAGAAAGCAUUUAUAGAUUAAGAAAAUCUACCACAACUUUUACCCUAAAUCAACCAAAGCUGAAAUUAAAAAAAAUGUAUAUAUAUAUAUGCUUACCAGUUCAUACAUGAAAUCUGGAUCAGAACUGUUUGCUAAGAGAUCUGUGCUCAUCAGAGUCUGCUCUGAAAAGGCGUGGCUUCGAAAGGCAUCCCCAAAAGUAGAGAAUCCUGGCAUUUCCUGGGACCUGCAAAGGUUCACAUCAGCUCUACUCUGUACUGCUGAGUGCGAUUAGCAUCUCAUUUCCCAGAACAAACUGGAGGACAAUUAUGACACCUUUACUCCAACAAAUAGGAUCAACAAAAUAGCCCCCAAAUCUCCUGGCUGUGAUCAGAAACUUGGGCAUGACCUCUGUAGCUUUCAUCUUGAUUCCUGGAAAGUACACUUCAUUCUAUAAUAAACAAAAGGAAAAAAAGACUCUGCAUUUAAAGUUAAUAUUCCUCUGUUUUCUUUCUAUUGCCUUUUUACAUUUCAACAUCUAUCCCAAAUCACUUCAAAGUCAAAACUCACACUUGUAAAGCAGCUCAAAUAACAUAAAGGCCU